rfam:Aptenodytes forsteri contig46873, whole genome shotgun sequence.
UGCACCGUUGGGCUGCAUCAGUCAUGCCAUGUUAUGAAACCUAACGCGAUGUGACUGAUGUAUGCUGACAUGAUGUGU